UACUUGAAAAAUAUAUCAUCAUGUUGGAUCAUUAAUUCUUAAUGACUUCAAAGUUCUUUUAUGAUAAUAAGAGCAUUGGGGCACAAAUAUCAAAAUAUGCAAUUUUUGAUACAUCUUAGAGCUCAUUUAAAGACUUUCUUUUAUUUCUUUAGAAAAUAGGCACAAUUUGAUACAUAAAAAUAGGAAUUGGCACAAAAUUGAAGUUCUAAGGAGCAAGCCAAUUAGGACUCAUUAGUGAAUUUCAAAAUAGAUUUUCUAAGUGAUACUCAAGAAAAUUCAACACAUUAUUCUCCCCCUUUUUCAUUAAGUUAGAGACUCUUAAGAUCAACUGUUUGAAUUGCAAUUUGGUUCAUGAUUUAUGCAUAAGGUAUAUUAACCAAAUAACAAGCCUCAAGGAGUAUCAUAAAGUUUUUCAGAUUUAAAUUUCAGAUGAUACAUAUUGGAGAGUAUUAGGAUCACUUUUCAUUUCUCUCUCCUUUAGUUAUGGAUUUAUGCGAUUAAGUUUCAUAUGAUCUUUCCUUCUGAAAUUUUCUUUCUCCCCCUUAAUUGAUCAUUUCAUUUAAGAGUUUAGAAUUUAAAGAUAAUGUUCAAUAAAAUUGUCAAUCUCAAAACAAAUAUAUUUUCUAUAAGUAUCAGCUUAUUUUCAUAAGACUCAAUGUUUGAG
rnacentral:lncRNA from 1 species